GUAUUACGAGUUUGUUGUUAAUUGUAAAGAUGCCUAAAUUAGUGUUUUUUCUGCAAUCAAGUGCCUUUGAUUCUGCUGAAAUUAAUUUUGUGAGUCACCCUGCAUGCUUGUUCGACGUGGGAUUGAAUCAUCACUGGAACCGGCUCGUCGGGUCACCGCUCACUAAAAGCUUCGCAUUACAAUUCUUCUUGGACAACCUGGCUCUUGAGGACAUCAUAACAGUCCUUGCCAAUUUUCUAUACGCGUUGUUGCGUUUCUAAACAAAAAAAAAAAAAAGAAAAAAGGU